rnacentral:lncRNA from 1 species
UUUGUUUCCAAACGUCAUCAAAAACAAGGAUGCUGCUAUAGAAAAAGCUCAUGAAACUCAAAGGCACAGAGACAAGCUCAUGGCUGCAUUAUGAAGCUUGCAUAGUCCCAGGAGAGCGGAUAGCCCUCUUAGCAGAUUCAAAUUCCACUCUCUCUAGAAACAUGAAGUAGCAGCCUACUGUGUACAAGAAAGCCAUCAGCAAUGAGUAGAGACAGCGUUUCACCAUAUUGGCCAGGCUGGUCUCAAAUUCCUGACUUCCAGUGAUGUGCCCACCUCGGCCUCCCAAACUGCUGGGAUCCACUUUGCUCUGCCUCAGGGACCUGCAGCCAAGUUCGUUACGGACCAGCUUGCUGAGUUGUCUUGAAAAGCGGGCUUACAGGUGUUCUAAGCCCAUGUUUUAUCCUGAAGUUCCCCUCGACAAGAAAAACGAAUUCAUAGCACAAAGUACACCAGUUUAAGACUAGCCUUAGAAUUCUUUUUUGCAUUAAUCCAAACAGAAGAGAUUUGUUUUACCAUUCCUUCAAUCGUUCCCACAGAGAGAAGUCAGAAAUCUGACUGCGUAUGUCAAGCCUCUGAGCCCAAGCCGGCCUGUAUACAUCCAGAUAGCCUGAAGCAACUGAAGAAUCACAAAAGAAGUGAAAAUGGCCGGUUCCUGACUUAACUGAUGACAUUACCUUGUGAAAUUCCUUCUCCUGGCCCAGGAGCUCCCCACCAAGCACCUUGUGACCCCCGCCCUGCCCUCAAGAGAACAACCCCCUUUGACUGUAAUUUUCCACUACCCACACAAAUCCUAUAAAACUGCCUCACCCCUAGUUCCCUUUGCUGACUCUUUUUUCAGAUUCAGCCCACCUGCACCCAGGUGAUUAAA